GCCUGAUAAAGGCAAACCGUACUGAAAAGACGGGACGCAAAGUUACUGGCCUAAGUCUUAAUUGUGAGAUAGGGUAGCAGAACAGCCGGG
rnacentral:ncRNA from 1 species